CUAGGCUUUGCUACUUCUGCUGUGCCUUCCUCUGGUUUCGACGACUCAGACUUCCGCAAGAAAGGUCGCAUCAAAUCUGAGAAAAAGCCAACUUCUAAGGAUAAUAAUAAUAGUACCAAUAAAGACUCUCAACAUGGAAACGAAAACAACAACAAAAAGAGAAUCAACAAUGAUAAAUUUGGCAAAAAACCGAAGCCGCAGCAGCUUAAGGCGGAGCUUCAAGUCGAUAAUAAUUUAUGGAAUACAACUCCCGGCAAGUACAAAAACAUGCCAAAGCUUCCGCUUGUGAAAGCGAGCGCAUUGUCUGUGUGGUACGCUGAUGCAGGAGAAUUGGAGGACAAGGUUAUUGGGAGUGACAGUACCAAUAAAAUUGCCGAGUUUAAGAAUGUCAAUGAAUGGAAAAGCAAGGUGGAAAAGAAGAAGGAAUUGGGCGAGAGGUUAUUGGCCCAGUAUGCGCAGGACUAUGAGUCGUCUCGAGGACAAAGUGGCGAUAUAAAAAUGUUACUUACCACGCUAAGGUCAGGGACUGCUUCUGACAAGAUAUCUGCUUUUUCUGUCAUGAUUGGGGAUAAUCCCACUGCCAAUUUGAGAUCGCUUGAUGCUCUAUUGGGGAUGGUGACAGCUAAAGUUGGAAAACGCCAUGCUUUGGCAGGUUUGGAAGCAUUGAAAGAACUUUUUGUUUCUAGUUUGCUGCCUGAUCGCAAAUUGAAGACACUCUUUCAGCGGCCGAUAGAUCAUAUUCCGGAUACAAAAGAUGGUUACUCGCUUCUACUCUUUUGGUAUUGGGAGGAAUGUUUGAAGCAAAGGUAUGAGCGGUAUAUCGCUGCUCUUGAGGAAGCAUCAAGAGAUGUCUUAGAUAUACUCAAAGACAAGGCAUUAAAGACAGUUUAUGUUUUGCUAAAGUGCAAACCAGAACAAGAGCGUCGAUUGCUUGCUGCCCUAGUAAACAAGCUAGGAGAUCCUAAAAACAAGGUUGCAUCUAAUGCUGAUUAUCACCUAUCAAAGCUUUUGGCUGACCAUCCAAAUAUGAAGGCUGUUGUGAUUGAUGAAGUAGAUAGUUUUCUUUUCCGGCCUCAUCUGGUAUUGCGAGCCAAGUAUCAUGCUGUUAACUUUUUAAGCCAAAUUCGCCUAAGUCACAGGGGGGAUGGCCCAAAGGUGGCAAAGCGUUUGAUAGAUGUAUAUUUUGCUCUAUUUAAGGUAUUAAUAUCUGAAGCAGGGGAAGGACGGACAAUGAAUAAGAAGAGCGAGGGACACAAGGAGGUUUCUGGCACUUUGAAAGAUAAGAAAGAAAAAGAUCUAUCAGAAUCUCAUGUUGAAAUGGAUUCACGCUUACUAUCCGCACUUCUUACGGGUGUGAAUAGAGCAUUCCCUUUCGUUUCAAGUGAUGAAGCCGAUGAUGUAAUUCAGGCCCAUACACCGGUAUUGUUUCAGCUGGUUCAUUCAAAGAACUUUAAUGUUGGAGUUCAAGCUCUCAUGCUCCUAGAUAAGAUCUCAGCAAAAAAUCACAUUGUUAGUGAUCGGUUUUAUCGUGCCUUGUAUGCAAAGCUUCUACUACCAACUGCAAUGAAUUCUUCCAAAGAGGAACUGUUUAUUGGACUCCUACUUAGGGCUAUGAAAAAUGAUGUAAAUGUGAAGCGAAUUGCUGCAUUCUCGAAGCGUUUAUUGCAGGUUGCAAUUCAGCAGCAGCCUCAGUACGCAUGUGGAUGUCUGUUUCUCCUGUCUGAGGUCCUUAAAUCGAAACCAACUCUCUGGAACAUGAUGCUCCAAAGUGAGUCUGUUGAUGAUGACCUUGAGCAUUUUGUAGAUAUUACAGAAGAAGAUGACGAUCAACCCAAUCCACCAAUUCAAAAAGAUAAUGCAAGUGAAGUUGCUCAAGAAGCUAAGCACUUGGAAAAUGGCAAUCAUUCUCUGCCGGAAGAAGGUAAUUCUAGUUCGGAGUCUGAUGAUGAUUCACUCCAAGCUGAGGAGUCUCCUGCUAGAGGUGAUUUAGAUGAACCAAAGAAUGCUAGAUUGAUGUCCGGAUUCAACAAACUUCUACCUGAAGGUUCGAAUGAUAAGCUCUUAUUGCCUGGAGGAUAUGAUACACGACACAGAGAACCUUCAUUUUGCAAUGCAGAUCGUGUAAGCUGGUGGGAGCUGAUGGUACUGGCAUCGCAUGCGCAUCCAUCAGUUGCAACCAUGGCUAGAACCCUUCUUUCAGGAGCUAACAUUGUGUACAAUGGUAAUCCCCUAAAUGAUCUUUCGCUGACUGCCUUCCUCGACAAAUUCAUGGAAAAGAAACCGAAACAAAGCACUUGGCAUGGUGCUUCUCAGAUUGAACCUGCUAAGAAGCUUGACAUGCAAGAUCAGCUGAUUGGGUCAGAAAUACUCUCCUUAGCUGAAACAGAUGUACCACCUGAGGAUCUUGUCUUCCAUAAAUUCUACGUGAAUAAGAUGAAGUCCUCGAAGAA
rnacentral:misc_RNA from 1 species